UGAAAAAUUUGAAAAAUGAAAAAUUGAAAAUAACUUCAUGAGCAAUAAAAUUUAACGCGAUAAAAUUUGCUGUUCAAGUGUUGAUUCAAUUAUGCGAUUCAUCAUGUUGAGAAUUAUUCCUUCCUGAUUUUAUUCUAGUGACUGGCGAUGAUUUAUUCAAUUAGAAACACCAGUACCAGUUGGAAUUAUCUUAUUACGGGUUAGAUAGAAAAACUGAUGAACGAAGAACGAACAAGACAAGAAACUGUCAAUAGUGCAGUUUACUUCAAUUUGUGAUUAUACGUACAUGCAUAUCUCCAGAGAUGAAGAUGACGCAUCGGACGAGUAUUGAUGGUGUUUCAUAAUCGGGAUGAGAAGAACUGAACUUUUUGGUCGAACUACUAGCUUUUCGAACACACAUUCACACAUAUAUAAAUCUUUGUAGACGAUGAAAAAUAAACAAGGCCAACGGUAGAUGGUGAAUCGGACGAGUAUGCCGUCGUUACGUUCUUCUAGAGAAAAUUUCAUGUGGAUGUUUACAAAGCGCAGUUUCAUAUUGAAGUUAAAGAAAGUGUGCAAAAUGAAAAGCACGCUCGCCUACCUUAAAGAUGCUUCAUCUUGCGGAAAAAACACUUACAUUCUUUCUAAAAAUCGUUGAAGUUUUGUCUUCAACCUGUGUGACCUGUGUGAAAGUGAUGAAAAUGUUUGUAUGAGUCUUGGCGGUUCUAUUAAUAUCAUGUAUUUUUUUUUUUUUUUUACUUUUUUCGCGCAGCGUCUAUGUUUUUUUCCAACUUGACGAUUUUUUUGCUUUUAAAGCAUUUUUUGGGGAUGUCAUUCUUUUUUUUCAAAUUGAUUUUUUUCUCUAGUUUGGCGGGUUUUUUGCUUGUUGAUUUUUUUUAAGCAUCUUGCAGGCAUGAAAUUCGAUCACUUGAAAAGUGACUCAGUCACCACUUGCAAGUCACUUUGUUCACUAUUUCGGCGAAAAAGACCAAAUUUCAAAGAUUUGUCUUGUAAAAAAGGAAAAGUGCAAAAUUUUAGGAAAUGAUCAAUAUUUUUCAUGAUAAUCCUGAAUCGUCAUUUUAAAAAAAAUGAAAAUGAACUAUUCUACAUUGAAAAUGUAAGCCGAUGUGAUUGGAUAGAGUCGAUAUUUUCUAAACCGUACAAAAGUAGAUCGAAAGAUAAGGCAAAAAUUUAUCAUCUGUCAAAAUUUCAAGUGCUAAAGUGCCUUUUUCGAUUUUUGGUGAAUUUUUGAAAAUCAAAUUGAGGCUAAAAAUGAGGGAAAAAAUCAAAUGAUUUUGAAGCUUCCAGCUGCUCUUUGGAAAUUUCAAUUUUCCAAAAAACGCCGUACAACCUUUCAAAAAGUCGCCGGAGCCUCACUGAGGCUCCAAAACGACUUGAAAUCCACCAGCAGUUGACUUCGUUGCGUAUUGAAAGUAGUUUGCAGAAUGAAUGCCGGCUUUCCAUCUCCAGUUGAUGAAAUUUUAGGAAAUUUCAAGGUUCAAAAAUCUACUGGAAUUGCCAGUAAUUUUCAAAAAGUCGCUGGAGGCUCCGAAACGACUUGAAAUCCACCUGCAGUCGAAUUCGUGGCGUAUCGAAAUUAGUUUGCAGAAUGAAUUUUGGCUUUCCAACUCUAUUUGAUGAAAUUUUGUGGGGAUUUCGGGUUUAAAAAUUUGCUGGAGGCUCCAGAAUUGCUCAAAACGGAUUGAAACAGUUUCCAAUCGAUUUGGCGUGUCGAAAAUAGGGUACCUAUAUCCCAAAUUGCAGCUUUCUUGGUCAAUUAGGUAAAAUUUUGAUUUUUUCCCCGCAUUUUUGGCCUGAAUUUGAUUUUUAGAAAUUCACCAAAAAUCGUAAUAGGCACUUUGGCAUUUGAAAUUCUGGCAGGUGAUGAUGUGAUGAAUCUUUCCUUAUCUUUCGAUCUACCUUUGUAUGGUUUAAAAAAUUUCGUACAAGUCAGCUGUGUUGGAACGCAAAAUCUGCGCUUAUCAGUACCUUUGAAAUCAGAAAAAAAAACUAAUCAUCGGUCAACAUGAAAUACAUUUAAAUAUUCUUAUUUUUCGUUUUCUCAGUUGGUGCUAAAAACAAAAUUUUAUAUCCAUAAAAAAUAAAGAUUAAAAAAUCAAAAAGGUGGGUAUUAAAAGCAAGAUAGAGUUCUAAAAAUUUCAAGAUUAUAUUUUACCUGGGAGGAGAGGGGGGGGUUAGAACUUGAGAAAUGACAAUGCUGAAAAACGAACGAGCGGUAUUUUUUAACUUUCUG